GUUUGCAGUCGGAGCUCAUCAGGAUCCCCAGAGGCAAAUCCAUUGUCAUCUGCCCUCCUCCUCCUCCUCCCAUCUGCCAGGCAAGUCGCAGACGAUGGCGGGCCACAAGGCUGGAUGGGCAGGUGCCUGGUCCUGACAGCCCUGCUCCGGGAGCUGGGAAGUCCUUUCUGUUGUCUGACCCCUGCGGGCAGCUCUGCAUCCAUCGUUCAGGAACGGUGCCUUCAUUACGCCAUACCAUCGCUCCAGCAGGCCUCUCCUGUGUGCCAGACGCCUCGGAUUCAUCGCCUUGCUUCUGUAUUACAGUAAGCCCAUGGAACAGAUUUAUUUCAGGGACGGCACUGUGGCAUAGCGGGUUGAGCCACCGCCUUCCGUCCUGGCAUCCCAUAUGGGCACUGGUUCGAGUCCCGGAUGCUCCACUUCCGAUCCAGCUCCCUGCUAAUGCACCUGGGAAAGCAGUAGAAGAUGGCCCAAGUGCUUGGGCUCCUGCACCCACAUGGGAGACCUGAAAGAAGCUCCUGGCUCCUGGCUUCAAAUCAGCCCAGCUCCAGUCAUUGCGGCCAUUUGGAGA